rnacentral:rRNA from 1 species
AGUCUGGUGCCAGCAGCCGCGGUAAUUCCAGCUCCAAUAGCGUAUAUUAAAGCUGUUGCAGUUAAAAAGCUCGUAGUCGGAUUUCAGGACACUUUAGCCGGUCGGCCGAAAGGUCUGCACUGGUCGAAGUGUUCUUCCUUCUGAAGACUGUGUCUGUUCUUAACUGGACGGGCAGAGAAUUCAGAUCGUUUACUUUGAAAAAAUUAGAGUGUUCCAAGCAGGCCACUGCCUUGAAUACUUCUGCAUGGCAUAAUAGAAUAGGACUUUGGUUCUAUUUUGUUGGUUUCUAGAGCCAAAGUAAUGAUUAAUAGGGACAGUUGGGGGCAUCAGUAUUUAAUUGCUAGAGGUGAAAUUCUCAGAUUUAUGAAAGACUAACUUCUGCGAAAGCAUUUGCCAAGGAUGUUUUCAUUGAUCAAGAACGAAAGUUAGGGGAUCGAAGACGAUCAGAUACCGUCGUAGUCUUAACCAUAAACUAUGCCGACUAGGACUAAGCGGAUGUUAUUCAACGACUCCGUUUGUGCCUUAUGAGAAAUCAAAGUCUUUGGGUUCCGGGGGGAGUAUGGUCGCAAGGCUGAAACUUAAAGGAAUUGACGGAAGGGCACCACAAGGCGUGGAGCCUGCGGCUUAAUUUGACCCAACACGGGGAAACUUACCAGGUCCAGACACAGAUUUGAUUGACAGAUUGAGAGCUCUUUCUUGAUUCUGUGGGUGGUGGUGCAUGGCCGUUCUUAGUUGGUGGAGUGAUUUGUCUGGUUUAUUCCGAUAACGAACGAGACCUCAGCCUACUAAAUAGUUGGGCGAAUCCUUUUGGAUUCGUGAUCAACUUCUUAGAGGGACUAUUCGUAUCCAGCGAAUGGAAGUUUGAGGCAAUAACAGGUCCGUGAUGCCCUUCGAUGUUCUGGGCCGCACGCGCGCUACACUGAUGAAUUCAACUAGUAUCUCCCUUGGCCGAUAGGUCUGGGUAAUCUUUGAAAAUUCAUCGUGAUGGGAAUUGAGCGCUGGAAUAUGCGUUCAUGAACGAGGAAUGCCUAGUAAGCGCGAGUCAUCAGCUCGCGUUGACUUCGUCCCUGCCUUUUGUACACACCGCCCGUCGCUUCUACCGAUCGAAUGGUCCGGUGAAAUCUUCGGACUGCCGCUGUUUCCGGUUCGCCGGAAACGGUGGUGGGAAGUUGAUUAAACCUUAUCAU